AGAUAACCGCUGAAAGCAUCUAAGCGGGAAACUUACCUCAAAACCAGGUCUCCCUGAGAGCCGUGAUAGACUAUCACGUCGAUAGGCCAGGUGUGGAAGGUCCGUGAGGACUGCAGCUUACUGGUACUAAUUGCUCGAUAGGCUUGAUAACUUUCAAGA
rnacentral:rRNA from 1 species